rnacentral:misc_RNA from 1 species
GCAAACUUGGUCAUUUAGAGGAAGUAAAAGUCGUAACAAGGUUUCCGUAGGUGAACCUGCGGAAGGAUCAUUACCGAGUGCGGGCCCUCUGGGUCCAACCUCCCACCCGUGUUUAUUUACCUUGUUGCUUCGGCGGGCCCGCCAUUCUGGCCGCCGGGGGGCUUUGCCCCCGGGCCCGCGCCCGCCGAAGACACCCCUGAACUCUGUCUGAAGAUUGUAGUCUGAGUGGAAUGAUAAAUUAGUUAAAACUUUCAACAACGGAUCUCUUGGUUCCGGCAUCGAUGAAGAACGCAGC